GUGAGGAAUAUUGGGCAAUGGGCGAAAGCCUGACCCAGCCACGCCGCGUGAGUGAUGAAGGCCUUCGGGUUGUAAAGCUCUGUGGGGAGGGAAGAAAAAGCGGGAGAGUAACUGCUCUCGUGUUGACGGUACCUCCUUAGCAAGCACCGGCUAACUCUGUGCCAGCAGCCGCGGUAAUACAGAGGGUGCAAACGUUGCUCGGAAUUACUGGGCGUAAAGCGCGUGUAGGCUGACAUGCAAGUCGGGUGUGAAAUCCCAGGGCUCAACCUUGGAACUGCACUCGAAACUGCACGUCUUGAGUACUGGAGAGGGAAGCGGAAUUCUGGGUGUAGAGGUGAAAUUCGUAGAUAUCCGGAGGAACACCAGUGGCGAAGGCGGCUUCCUGGACAGUAACUGACGCUGAGACGCGAAAGCGUGGGGAGCAAACAGGAUUAGAUACCCGGGUAGUCC
rnacentral:rRNA from 1 species